rnacentral:lncRNA from 1 species
CCACCGCCUUUGAAAUAUUCUUUCUUAGUCUAAAUAUACAUCAACCCUAUAAAUAUUCUUUCUUGGUCCAAAAACCCCGUUCGUUGAUUGUUUUUGAGGGUAUACGCAGUGUUUGCUUGUUCAUAUGGGUAACUUUUGUUGAUCAAGACAUGGGUAAUUACAGUGCCUUAUAGUUAUUCUUGAUCUGGGUAGCUAUUGUUUAUCAAGAUACAGGCCAAAUAUUGUAUAAUCAAGAUAGUGGAUAGUUAUUGUUUGAUCAAGAUACUGGUAAUUAUUGUUGAUCAAUAUUGUGGGUAACUAUUGUUUGGUCAAGAUACUGGGUAAUUAUUGUGCUCCUUAUUGUUAAUCUGGAUACUUAUUGUUGAGCAAGAUAGCGGGUAACUAUUGUUGAUCAGGAUAAUGGGUAAUAAUGUUUGAUCAAGAUAUGGGUAGUUAUUGUAGAUUAUUGUAUAUGAUUUGGUCUUCUUUCGUUGGUAUCUUGAGGAUAUAAGCAGUGUUUGAUUGUUCAUAUGGUUUAUUGUUGAUCAAGAUGAUGGGUUAUUAUUGUUUGAUCAAGAUGAUGGGUUAUUGUUGUUGAUCAACACGUGGGUAAUUAUUGUUUGAUCAAGAUAUGGGUAUGUCUUCGUUUGGGGAGGCGACUGGUUGGGUUUUUGAUUUCUUGGCCAUCUUAGAAUUAUAUACAAUCUCAAGUCAUGUACUUUUGAAUCUUGGUUUUCAAAGAUAUCAAUAUUUAGGGAGCCAUUGCUUAGGUUUCUGAUUUGCAACUCUUUGAUCUUCAAUGUUAGGG